ensembl:snRNA U1 U1 spliceosomal RNA
AUACUUACCUGGCAGAGGAGAUACCAUGAUCAUGAAGGUGGUUUUCCCAGGGUGAGCCUCACUCACUGCACUGCGAGUGUGCUGACCCCUGUGAUUUCCCCAAAUGGGGAAAACUCGACUGUGUAAUUUGUGGUGGCGGGGUACUGCGUGCGCGCUCUCCCCUG